GACGAACGCUGGCGGCGUGCUUAACACAUGCAAGUCGAACGGAAAGGCCCUGCUUUUGUGGGGUGCUCGAGUGGCGAACGGGUGAGUAACACGUGAGUAACCUGCCCUUGACUUUGGGAUAACUUCAGGAAACUGGGGCUAAUACCGGAUAGGAGCUCCUGCUGCAUGGUGGGGGUUGGAAAGUUUCGGCGGUUGGGGAUGGACUCGCGGCUUAUCAGCUUGUUGGUGGGGUAGUGGCUUACCAAGGCUUUGACGGGUAGCCGGCCUGAGGGGGUGACCGGCCACGUGGGGACUGGGAGACGGCCCAGACCCCUACGGGGGGAGGAGGGGGGGAAUAUUGCACAAGGGGCGGAGGCCUGAUGAAGCACCGCGGGUGGGGGAAUGCGGCCUUUCGGUUUGAAAACCGCUUUCGCUUUUGCCGAAGGGUGGGGGAGGUAAAGGGGAAAGAAGCACCGGCUACUACGUG
rnacentral:rRNA from 1 species